AAUGAACGUUGGCGGCGUGGAUUAGGCAUGCAAGUCGUGCGAGAAAUUCCCUUCGGGGGAUGGACAGCGGCGAAAGGGAGAGUAACGCGUGGUUACAUACCCUCGGGACCGGGAUAGCGUUGGGAAACUGGCGGUAAUACCGGAUAAUAUCUUUGGAUCAAAGGUGUGAUUCCGCCCGAGGAUUGGACCGCGUUCUAUUAGCUUGUUGGCGGGUAAUGGCCCACCAAGGCUUAGAUGGAUACCGGGUGUGAGAGCAUGGCCCGGCUCACUGGGACUGAGACACUGCCCAGACACCUACGGGUGGCAG
rnacentral:rRNA from 1 species